rnacentral:rRNA from 1 species
UGGGGAAUUUUGGACAAUGGGCGAAAGCCUGAUCCAGCAAUGCCGCGUGUGUGAAGAAGGCCUUCGGGUUGUAAAGCACUUUUGUCCGGAAAGAAAUCCUUGGCUCUAAUACAGUCGGGGGAUGACGGUACCGGAAGAAUAAGCACCGGCUAACUACGUGCCAGCAGCCGCGGUAAUACGUAGGGUGCAAGCGUUAAUCGGAAUUACUGGGCGUAAAGCGUGCGCAGGCGGUUUGCUAAGACCGAUGUGAAAUCCCCGGGCUCAACCUGGGAACUGCAUUGGUGACUGGCAGGCUAGAGUAUGGCAGGAGGGGGGUAGAAUUCCACGUGUAGCAGUGAAAUGCGUAGAGAUGUGGAGGAAUACCGAUGGCGAAGGCAGCCCCCUGGGCCAAUACUGACGCUCAUGCACGAAAGCGUGGGGAGCAAACAGGAUUAGAUACCCUGGUAGUCCACGCCCUAAACGAUGUCAACUAGUUGUGGGGAUUCAUUCCUUAGUAACGUAGCUAACGCGUGAAGUUGACCG